GAUGAACGCUAGCGGCAGGCCUAAUACAUGCAAGUCGAACGGUGUCUUCGGACAUAGUGGCGCACGGGUGCGUAACACGUAUGCAACCUACCUUACAUUGGGGGAUAGCCUUUCGAAAGGGAGAUUAAUACCGCAUAAGACAGUAGCUGGGCAUCCAACAGCUGUUAAAGAUUUAUCGAUGUAAGCUGGGCAUGCGUCCAAUUAGCUAGUUGGUGAGGUAACGGCUCACCAAGGCAAUGAUUGGUAGGGGAACUGAGAGGUCAAUCCCCCACACUGGCACUGAGAUACGGGCCAGACUCCUACGGGAGGCAGCAGUAGGGAAUAUUGGGCAAUGGACGCAAGUCUGACCAGCCAUGCCGCGUGCAGGAUGAAGGCGUUAUGCGUUGUAAACUGCUUUUAUACAGGAAGAAACGACUCUUGCGAGAGGCAUUGACGGUACUGUAUGAAUAAGCACCGGCUAACUCCGUGCCAGCCGCCGCCGUAAUAC
rnacentral:rRNA from 1 species